rnacentral:rRNA from 1 species
AACGAACGCUGGCGGCAUGCCUAACACAUGCAAGUCGAACGAGACCUUCGGGUCUAGCGGCGCACGGGUGCGUAACGCGUGGGAACCUGCCCUUAGGUUCGGAAUAACUCCCCGAAAGGGGUGCUAAUACCGGAUAAUGUCUUCGGACCAAAGAUUUAUCGCCUUUGGAUGGGCCCGCGUUGGAUUAGCUAGUUGGUAGGGUAAAAGCCUACCAAGGCGACGAUCCAUAGCUGGUCUGAGAGGAUGAUCAGCCACACUGGGACUGGGACACGGCCCAGACUCCUACGGGAGGCAGCAGUGGGGAAUAUUGGACAAUGGGCGAAAGCCUGAUCCAGCAAUGCCGCGUGAGUGAUGAAGGCCUUAGGGUUGUAAAGCUCUUUUACCCGGGAUGAUAAUGACAGUACCGGGAGAAUAAGCUCCGGCUAACUCCGUG